rnacentral:rRNA from 1 species
AUUGAACGCUGGCGGAAUGCUUUACACAUGCAAGUCGAACGGCAGCACGGACUUCGGUCUGGUGGCGAGUGGCGAACGGGUGAGUUAUGUAUCGGAACGUGCCCAGUCGUGGGGGAUAACGUAGUGAAAAUUACGCUAAUACCGCAUACGAUCUAUGGAUGAAAGCAGGGGAUCGCAAGACCUCGCGCGAUUGGAGCGGCCGAUAUCAGAUUAGGUAGUUGGUGGGGUAAAGGCCCACCAAGCCAACGAUCUGUAGCUGGUCUGAGAGGACGACCAGCCACACUGGAACUGAGACACGGUCCAGACUCCUACGGGAGGCAGCAGUGGGGAAUUUUGGACGAUGGGCGAAAGCCUGAUCCAGCCAUUCCGCGUGCAGGAUGAAGGCCCUCGGGUUGUAAACUGCUUUUGUACAGAACGAAAAGGUUUCUACUAAUACUAGGAGCUCAUGACGGUACUGUAAGAAUAAGCACCGGCUAACUACGUGCCAGCCGCCGCCGUAA